UCUGGCCCGUCCCGGGUCCGAGUUGUAAUUUGCAGAGGAUGCUUCGGGCAAGGCUGCGGUCUAAUUCGCUUGGAACAGCGGGUCACAGAGGGUGAGAAUCCCGUCUAGGACCGCGAGCCGCGUCCAUGUGAAGCCCCUUCGACGAGUCGAGUUGUUUGGGAAUGCAGCUCUAAAUGGGUGGUAAAUUUCAUCUAAAGCUAAAUAUGGGCCAGAGACCGAUAGCGCACAAGUAGAGUGAUCGAAAGAUGAAAAGCACUUUGGAAAGAGAGUUAAACAGUAUGUGAAAUUGUUGAAAGGGAAGCGCUUGCGACCAGACUCGUGAACGGCGGCUCCCCCGGCCCUUGGGCCGGGUCACUCCACCGUCUCCGGGCCAGCAUCGGUCUGGGUGGCCGGUGAAAGGCCCCGGGAAUGUAUCUACCCUCGGGUCGACUUAUAGCCCGGGGUGCAAUGCGGCCCACCCGGACCGAGGAACGCGCUCCGGCUCGGAUGCUGGCGUAAUGGUUGCAAGCGGCCCGUCUUGAAACACGGACCAAGGAGUCUAACAUCCAUGCGAGUGUUUGGGUGCCAAACCCCGGCGCGCAAUGAAAGUGAACGGAGGUGAGAGCCCGUCUGGGCGCAUCAUCGACCGAUCCUGAUGUCUUCGGAUGGAUUUGAGUACGAGCAUGGCUGUUGGGACCCGAAAGAUGGUGAACUAUGCCUGAAUAGGGUGAAGCCAGAGGAAACUCUGGUGGAGGCUCGCAGCGGUUCUGACGUGCAAAUCGAUCGUCAAAUUUGGGCAUAGGGGCGAAAGACUAAUCGAA
rnacentral:rRNA from 1 species